CCCUUAGAUGUCCGGGGCUGCACGCGCGCUACACUGAAGGAAUCAGCGUGCUAAAACCAUUGUCGAAAGGCAUUGGUAAACCCAUUAAAAUCCUACGUGAUUGGGAUCGGGAAUUGCAAUUAUUUCCCUUGAACGAGGAAUUCCCAGUAAGUGUGGGUCAUAAGCUCGCGUUGAUUACGUCCCUGCCCUUUGUACACACCGCCCGUCGCUGCCCGGGACUGGGCCGUUUCGAGAAAAGCGGGGACUGCUGCUGUCGGGGCUUUCGGGCCUUGGCUUCGGUGGAAACCGCUUUAAUCGCAGUGGCUUGAACCGGGCAAAANUCGUAACA
rnacentral:rRNA from 1 species